rnacentral:rRNA from 1 species
AUUGAACGCUGGCGGCAUGCCUUACACGUGCAAGUCGAACGGCAGCACGGGAGCAAUCCUGGUGGCGAGUGGCGAACGGGCGAGUAAAGUAUCGGUACGUGCCCAGUCGUGGGGGAUAACGUAGCGAAAGUUACGCUAAUACCGCAUACGAUCUAUGGAUGAAAGCGGGGGAUCGCAAGACUUCGCGCGAUUGGAGCGGCCGAUAUCAGUAUGGGUAGUUGGUGGGGUAAAGGCUCACCAAGCCGACGAUCUGUAGCUGGUCUGAGAGGACGACCAGCCACACUGGGACUGAGAACCGGCCCAGAGUCCUACGGGAGGCAGCAGGGGGGAAUUUUGGACAAUGGGCGAAAGCCGGAUCCAGCCAUGCCGCGUGCAGGAUGAAGGCCUUCGGGUUGUAAACUGCUUUUGUACGGAACGAAAAGGUUUGGCCUAAUAAGCUCAGCUCAUGACGGUACCGUAAGAAUAAGCACCGGCUAACUACGUGCCAGCCGCCGCAGUAACAC